GAUGAACGCUGGCGGCGUGCUUAACACAUGCAAGUCGAGCGAAGCACUUAAGUUUGAUUCUUCGGAUGAAGACUUUUGUGACUGAGCGGCGGACGGGUGAGUAACGCGUGGGUAACCUGCCUCAUACAGGGGAAUAACAGUUAGAAAUGGCUGCUAAUGCCGCAUAAGCGCACAGGACCGCAUGGUCCGGUGUGAAAAACCGAGGUGGUAUGAGAUGGACCCGCGUCUGAUUAGGUAGUUGGUGGGGUAACGGCCUACCAAGCCGACGAUCAGUAGCCGGCCUGAGAGGGUGAACGGCCACAUUGGGACUGAGACACGGCCCAG
rnacentral:rRNA from 1 species